UAGCGUAAAGCGUAUUGUCCAACAUGGGUAACUGGGUUUUGGUUUGAACCCUGGUUUUUGACCAUGUUGACCUGGGGGAAUUUUGGUAAUUUUACCUAAAUUCGCGUCUUAGCUUGAAUUAAAGAGUAGAAUCAAUUGCUUGAUAUGUUACUUACAAUAUGUGAUUGAAUUGAAUAGAUUUGGGCCAUUUGGAGUCGAGUACUCGUGACAAGAAUGGGUUUGUUAGUUGAUUUUAGCCAGUUCGAGGUAAGUAUCUUGGCUAACCUUGUGUGGAGGACUUUCCUUUAGGACAUGAGUCUUCUUUGUUGCUUGUAUUCCUUGUAAGCGAGGUGACGAGUGCGUGCUCGAAUCUAUUUUUUAACAAUUUUUCCCUUUUAGGCUCUUAGAUCAUUGUAAUCAUCGAAUAUGAAGUUGUUCUUGAUACAAUUAAGUUUCUUGUUAUUAGUUUCACCUCUACAUGUGUUACUUGAAAUUUAUUUGCCCGGUUUGGUUUGUUCUUGUUUCCUAAUCGACUUUUACUUGAUUAAUUAUGGAUACUUACCCUUCUAUGGUCACAUUAUAAUUCCUAAAUGCUUGUUUUUAUUUGGAAAGUAUUGUUCUGUCUCUCGCGUAAUUAAUUGGUUUUAAUUGAAAAGAAGUUAGAUAAUCUGUGUUUUGUUGAUACUUCCUUAAUUACAAUUAUUUGGUUUAUGUUAACUUCCUUAUUUUUGAACUGAGUAUUAUUUGGAAUUGUUGUUUCUUAUGUGGUUUAUGCUAACUUCCUUAAUCUGUGUUUUGUUGUUUCUUAUCAAUUUUUGUUUCUUGUGAGUUAGUUGUACUACCUUUUGGUGAAUGGAAAUAUCUGAGUGAUUCUCUUGCUUUGUUCCUGUAUACAUUGCAAUUGCUGCUGGUGUACUUGAUAUUGUAAUGCACGAGGUUUGCGUGCGGUUGUUGAUACCGUAAUGCACGAGGUUUUUAUCGUGCUACUGUUGAUAUUGUAGUGUACGAGGUUUCUACCAUGCAGUUAUUGAUAUUGUGAUGCAUGAGGUUUUUAUAGUGCGAUUUUUUGUGAGGGUUUGCACGAGGUCUUUGCCGUGCCAUUGUUGCUAUUGAUAUAUUGCACAUGCGGCGUAAUUAGGCGGGAUAUGUUCAAAUGCUUAUAUGUGGGUUGCGCAGGUGGCGAAAUAAAGUGAGAAAUACUAUGAUGCAUGUGUGGAAAAAUAAGACGGUACUUAUUAUAUUAUAAAAUGCACACAUGGUUAAGUGAGGUGGGCUAUGUCAGGGAUUGAUUGUACGGAUUGUGACGGCCUGUGGAGGCAUUCCUAUCUACAUUUAAUAUUUUCAUUGUGUCUUCUUUUCUGUAUGAGAUUUAUCUUGUGGAUGCGGUGAGGGAACAUUGUGCAUGUUGUUGCUCUUCUUCUAAUCUUUACUAGCUAGUAGAAAUCUUGUUAAAAUACUCGCACACGCAUACGCGUAGUUGAAGCACUCCUAUUGUAGGUGAAGUUCCCUUGGUUUUGCUAAGCAUAGAGGUACGUCCUCAUUUAAUCAUUAUAUAUGUAAGAGUGUCCCUAGUUGGCUUGUUAGUGGUCAGCAUGACUGUAAGACUGAUGGGGUAGCACAAGAUGCCAAGUGUUAGAUUUCAGAUGCUGGGAUUUUGUGAGUUGAGGUUUGUCCGAGAUUUGAUAAAUUUGUGAAAAUAGUCGAAUAAGACCUUAAGUGAACAUCAUCGUAGAACAUGAGUUGUUGUUUUAUUUUUCCCUUUACUGUGUUAUGAUUCUAGGAAUUGGAUUGUGUUUGCAAUCAUUAUGUAUCAUCACUUCUUAUAUUCUCGUUGUUACUUGUUGUUAUUCUUCCCUCAUUGUGAUUGUAGCAUUAUUAAUCACUCUGUGCACUCCUUACAUAAAUAUAUGUAUAUCAUUUCAGAUGUUCCUAUAAUUGUACCAUUUAUUUGACGAUAGAUGUCUUGACUGUUCGUUGUCACUGCUCCAUCGAGGUUAGUCUUGAUACUUACAUGGCACUGUUGUUGUGUGCUCAUGCUACUCUUCUGCACAUUUUUGUUGUGCAGAUACAUGUACUUCCGCUCAGUUCCAUUAGUCUUGGAAGGAGGCGUAUCGAUAGAGACUUCGAGGUAUAUCAGCCACGUCUGCCGACGGAGGAGUCCCUUUCCAGCUUUCUGUAAUAAGUAUAGCUCUUCCAGUAUUAUUCCUUUGUAUAGAUAUUCUUAAGUCAGAGCAUCUUUUGUAUCCCUUAGCUUGUGAUUUGUGAGAUUCCGG
rnacentral:lncRNA from 1 species